UACGAAGGGGGCUAGCGUUGUUCGGAAUACUGGGCGUAAAGCGCACGUAGGCGGAUCGAUCAGUCAGGGGUGAAAUCCCAGAGCUCAACUCUGGAACUGCCUUUGAUACUGUCGGUCUAGAGUAUGGAAGAGGUGAGUGGAAUUCCGGAGUGUAGAGGUGAAAUUCGUAGAUAUUCGGAGGAACACCAGUGGCGAAGGCG
rnacentral:rRNA from 1 species